UGUAAUGGUUUCACCAGGAUUCAGAAUGCU
rnacentral:piRNA from 1 species